rnacentral:rRNA from 1 species
GUGGGGAAUAUUGGACAAUGGGCGAAAGCCUGAUCCAGCCAUGCCGCGUGUGUGAAGAAGGUCUUCGGAUUGUAAAGCACUUUAAGUUGGGAGGAAGGGCAUUAACCUAAUACGUUAGUGUUUUGACGUUACCGACAGAAUAAGCACCGGCUAACUUCGUGCCAGCAGCCGCGGUAAUACGAAGGGUGCAAGCGUUAAUCGGAAUUACUGGGCGUAAAGCGCGCGUAGGUGGUUCGUUAAGUUGGAUGUGAAAGCCCCGGGCUCAACCUGGGAACUGGAUCCAAAACUGGCGAGCUAGAGUACGGUAGAUGGUGGUGGAAUUUCCUGUGUAGCGGUGAAAUGCGUAGAUAUAGGAAGGAACACCAGUGGCGAAGGCGACCACCUGGACUGAUACUGACACUGAGGUGCGAAAGCGUGGGGAGCAAACAGGAUUAGAUACCCGAGUAGUCC